rnacentral:miRNA from 9 species
CGUCAGUGUUCAAUUGUUGAUAU